ACAGUGUCCCCAAGAUGUACGUCUCAGCCAGGACCCCCAGAGCAGCCAGAAAAAGAGAUUGAGAGAAGCACACAGCCCCUCCCCAAGAUCCAGCACCCCCAUAUCACAGAAGGCUGCAGCUGUGGUUCUGUGGAGGAAAAGCAGGGCCCGAGAGUCCAGUCUCUCCUGGCAGUCAGUGCCCUUCCUGGGAUUCAAGAGAGAAACUUCCUUUUCCACAGUCUAAUGUGUAAGAUGUCAGCCACCACACCUGGCCUGCCACACUUCCUUGAUGCUAUUGACAUUUAUAAUAGCAAGCAGGUUUUCUCCCUUUGGGUCCGGAGAUCAGAGUUCUUUGUUGGGAUUGAAAGCAUGAACGUGUCAUUUGAUGGGGCUUUGGACAGUGGUCAUGACGUGAAGAAUUAGGAAGCCAUAGGCUGGGAGGCAAGCCCAGGGACAUGACCUGCAGAGGAAGGCCCAUGCACCUGCCACCAGGCAUCGAAGACCUCAAGGCCAUUCUCCGGUGAACCCAGGGGUGACAGACUGAACAGUGAAUUGCCAAGACCGAGGGCUGAUCUGCUCUACAGAUGUCUCCUGCAGACUCCAAAGCAUUCUAUAACCUAUUCUAACCACGGCUCUGUGCGGGCUGUGGUGCUUCUGUGCCCUCUGCCCCUGGCACAGCAUGAGGCCGGCAGCUGAUUCAGCGCAUUGUCUGGAGACCCAGCAUGGUGCCAUCUCUGCUGACUUUCAUCUCUAUUGGCUAAGAAUCCUUGCCAACAGGGCCUCUGAAAUGAGGGAGGCACACACGGAUCUGCCCGGGAACGUGUGCUACAAGGUUAAGCGUGUUUGCCCAGGCGAGGUGGGUAAUGCUCUUAUCAUGUAUGACCUUUACAAUAUGUGGAAUACUGUCCGGGACAAAAUCACCACUAUUAAGAUGGUUUCCACACCAGGGUACCAGCCAUUAAUCACCAUGCAUGUGAGUGGCUGUGGGCGCUGCCUGAGAAGCCUUGAGUCCCACAGUAUAUGCCAGCCUGCUGCUGGCUCUUCAAGUCUCACCCCCUUAUGAUCUUUAGGUCCUGUGGUCUCAUAUCAUUCUGAUAUCCCAAAAUUCCAGCAUCACUAGAAUUCUAGCAUACCUGUACCCAUAUAUCCUGACAUCCUGGCAUCCCUGAAUCCGGGAUUCUCAUUUCUUUCUAUCAUAGCAUCCCUAUAUGCCAGCAUCCCCAGAGUUCUAGCAUACAAACACCCACAUAUCCUGACACUCUGGCAUCCCUGAAUCCAGCAUCCCCAUUUCUCUUUAUCACAGCAUCCCUAGAUCCCAGUAUCCCUGUGUCCAAGUACCCCUGUGUCCCCAGCACCCUUGUGUCCUGGUAUCCCAGCAUCUCUGUAUCCCUGCACCCGGGCAUUCCUGUAUGGUCAUAUUCCUGAAUCCUGGCAGACCAGCAUCCUAGGAUCCCAGCCCGUCUCCCCAGUAAUUCAGGGGAAGAGCUGCCUUCUCGGUGUCCUUGGCCAGAGGCUCCUUAUUCUAAGGUUUCUUUGUGUCCCUGGCACUGAUAAAUAAUAUGUCCCUGAUGCCUAUGCUGAGCCUGCAUAAUUUAGCAUUGACCAAUGGCAUCUGUGACACAGAGACCAGCCAGUCCUUCUCCUGGACGUCCUGUAGAUGUUUUUCAGGGGAGUUGACUGGCACUAGGCUGACCUGCUCCUGCCUCAACAUUUACCUGCUUCUCGGAGCUUAAUUGAAGAAAUGUCAAGCUAUUGAGUUCAGAAUCUGAGCACCCACCAGGGCACUGCCCGAUGUCACCCAGCCUACAGCUGCCCAACCCUAGAAAGCACACCACCCAGAACUCCUGAGACCUCGAGAUGGGGUGGGGGUGGGGGUGUCGGUCGAACCUCAUCUCCCUGUAUACACCAAUUUCAAAAGCUGGAUGCAUAAGCACACCAGAAAAUCACCUUACUGGGGCUGGUGAGAUGGCUCAGUGGGUAAGAGCACCCGACUGUUCUUCCGAAGGUCCG
rnacentral:lncRNA from 1 species